rnacentral:lncRNA from 1 species
CAAAACAUUAGCAAACUCUCUAAAAAUUCCUAGAAUGCAGGAUUUUGCACCAUUCAUUUCAUAACCUCCAAAAAAAAAAAUUCUUUUGCCUCACUAAAAUAAGAUGCCUAGUUACGGCCUUGUAACGGAAUUUGAUAAUUCCUGGACUUAUGAAUUCCCUUUUCCAUCUAGGUAAGAAUUAAUUUUAUUUUCAAUAAAAGAACGAUAAAUGUCCCCGCA